rnacentral:misc_RNA from 1 species
UGAUGAUAUUAACAUCAAGAGCAGAUAUUGUGUAUAUCUCUCUGAAUACUCAAAACCUUAUAUACAAAUGCUUAAUAAACAAUGGAGAUACACGUUUACGCGAUUUUACUGAUACAAAAAUCCAUCUACUGCAACAAUCCGCGAUAAGUGCUCCACGAGUAGGGCUACAAUGGCCUUCUUGGUUAUGCAAUAUCACUAGCUUCUUUAGAUGAAGAUGGCAAAAUAAUAACGUUCAUAUUUGCGUUGUUGGGAGGAAG